UUUUUCUGGCUGUGCCUGUCAUGCUCAGAUGUGCUUUCCAGCAGUUUGUAUUCCUGAUGAGUUGCAGUUUAAACCUGCAUGCAAAACAGAUGCAGUUUAGCCACGUCAUUUUUGAUGCCUGUAUUCCAAAUCUAUAGUCUCAAAACUUGCACUUGGCAAUUAGUGCCCUAACAAUGGUAGCUAAAUUACAUAUACUUAGAUUUUUGGUCAUAAGUUUUCUUUGCUGCCCACAGAUCUCUGGCUAAGGCCUGCAGUCGCUGGGCACCUUGAGGCCUUGAUGGGACGUGCCACCCAGGUUUUGCCACCAAGGUUUUGCCUUGCUGAUGUGACCUCCGAGGACUGGUCCAGUAGUCAGGAGCUCAGGAGUCUGAAGCAGAGUGGUGCUGACGAAGGUAGUCAUGGCAUCCAUCUUCCACCACUGCCUAGGGCUCAGAGCUGCAGGAGGCACGGGAUGGAAGUUCCUGCUCUUUCUGAAGUAGAGUUUGUAACCACAAUCUGCUUCCUCCAUGGUGAGUGCUGUAACUGCUAUCACCUGGAGCAGUUUGUGGCAACUGAUUCUGAAUCCUUUUGAAGCAAUCUUUUGCCUAAAAUGGCAGGUGGCCUGCUGGGAAAUGGACGAAAACAUGUCCCUCUCACCUUCUGUUUUUAUACCACCAAAAAUGUCUACGUGUUAGGUAUUGCAAUACUCGGCCUUCAGCCAACUUGCAUAUUUCUUUUCUGCUGGAAUUUUCAUAUUUACCAGGUUCAUAAUCAGUGUUCCAGUGGGAUUUAGACCUCUAAAUAUUGUUUAAAGAUUUGGAGAUAAAACACCUGCCUAAUGACAAAAACACUGCUUCUCAUGUGUCUAAAUCUUCCAGCACCAAAAAUGGUUUUAAAAGAUUAGUCAUGAGUACCCCCUUCACUAGGCGGCAGAGUGCUUCCAACUCCUCUGAAAUAGAGGACAUUCACCGUGUGCCAGGGUCAAGUCUUGACAUUCAGACGUAUGGCUGUCAAAUCAGCAAAUGCUUAAAUGCCUGUCACCCAAGUGCUUGAAAGCUGUGCAAGCAGAGAACAGAACAACUCACUCUGCAGAGCCACAGGCAUCUCUGGAAACGUGAUGGGUGAGCUCAGCAGAUUUUACCAUCAAAUCUGCAACCUGGAGAAGGAUGAGUCCAGUUGUAAAAUAAACAGUAUAUCUGAAGAAGUUGAAUUCUGAAAAUAAUAGCAGGAUUCGUUGUUCCUUGUCACCCUGCAUGAGUUUGGCAUGAGGUACAGAGCUCCAAAUGGAAAGGUAUUCAACGCCUUAGAAGGCAAACAAGUACAGCUUUUUGGCCAAAGCAGUCCCUCUUCUUCUUUUGGAGGGCAAUUUACCAGCGGUGUUCAUCAAAGCUUCUGUACUGUUCGCUCUUGCUUGCCCAUCAGUCUUCAGUGAGUUUGUGUGGCUAGAAGUAGGGCAGAGUUUAGUUUGCUAAGCUCUAGCAAGAUGUAUGUAUCUAUAUACUUAAGUCUUCAUGUAACUAAUCACUGUGUAUUUUUGCACAGUUUUGCAGCAUUCUGGCAAGAUCCAUGAAAGCCAGAAGUUUAAGAGAAAGUGCACUAUAACUUGCCACUUUUAAAUUAUGUGAAUUAAGAUCAGAAUGUCAAUGUCAUUCUGUUUUUUUAUCUUGUGUCACUUCUGACACAGCCUUGAUGGGUCUUUAAAUACAGGCUGUUUUGUAUUUAAAGUUCCUUGUUUUUUCCUUCUUUUAUGAAAAAUCUUUUAUGGUAGGUUAUAUAACCUGUACUAUUAUGUAGCAAGUGGAGAAGGUAGUUUUUAAAUGUUUUACACAUCUUGCUAAAGAUUUCUCAUGAGUGAAUCGACUGCAAGAAAUAUUUAGGCAGUUUUAUAUGCACAGUAAGUGUGCUGAGUUUUGACUGGUGUAGAAGAACCCUUAAAAAAUAUCACAGAGGAGCCAGGGGUUGCAAAACAUCCCAUCCAUUCUUUUACUCCUGUUGCCAAGAAAAGCAGCUUGUUAUUUCAGUCCUAUUAAUUCAGAACUAGUCUGCUUUUGAGUACAUUUGAAGUUUAAGGUCUGAAAUGAACAGAACAAUGCAUGCUUAUAUAUUUAUUGUACAGGAUAGGUGAAAAAGAAACUGUGUUUUCCACCUUAGAUUUUCUAAGCCACUUUCAGAGUCUGUGCCAGAGGACCUUUAAGAAAGGGUCCAAUCCUGAGGCCAUUUUGUAUGUAACCCUACAGAUUUCCUACCUGGAAUGACUGUAACUGAAGACCAAGAGAGUUGUGCCUAGCACUGCAACUUAUUACGGUUUAUUUUGGGACCAAGUUACUAGGUCACCAUGCUUUGUCAACUGUGUACUCACGUGCAGACGCACACAAAAGUAAAGGUGUUAAACUGAUAAAUCAAUCAGUUCAAAAUGCCUCAGAGUAAAUCUUAGAUCAGUAGACAUAUGUAAGUGCACUAUGUAACAAGUGGUCUUCUUAUCUUUCAAAAAGAUAAACUCAGUGAAUUUUUUCAGUUGAAUUGGCACCAAGUUCUCUCUGCUUAAGACUUUUAAUUAUGGUGUUAAGCCAGGUUUUACUGGUAGGAGAAUGUAACAGCAUGACACAUGGUUUAUGUUCUUGUGCUUUAUAAGUGCUAUGAAGUGACCCUGUCUCAGUAUGUUUUUAAAACUCCCGACCUACAACUUUCUAAAUUAGUCUUUAGUGACCUUAGGUAUAUGUUGUAGCUAGUAAGCACAUUAAGAGAAUUAAUGACACUAUGUAUAAGAUAAUGAUUUAUAUGGAGCUCUCUCACAAAACAAGAGUUUUGUGUGUUCCAAACUAUUUUUCAAUGAAGUCUUUACAUUCUUUAACAUUGUGAAACUCCCAUUUUAUUUAGUUAUUUUCUAGGCGUUGGUGUUUUGGAUUCAUGGUCUUACUUGGUUUAUUUCCGCUUGAUUCAUUACAUGCAAAAUUCUUGCCAUGACACAAUUCCUCUUAUAAGAAACUCACUCGGGAUGUGGCAAGAAAACUUCUGUUAAAGACCACAGAAGUUUUUUCUGCAGGAAGGAUAACAGUUUAGGGCCUAUCAUGUACUGGAAGCUGGAUUUGUAAACUUACGCAGUGCAGAAUGGCUUAGGCAGAUAUUUGAAAUUAAAGUAAUUUUUCCUAGACAAUGCUCCCUUUCUCACUGAAAUCUAUGAACUAGCAGUAAGGAAUAUUUCUUUCCAUGGCAAACCCAUGACAAAUUCUUCAGGAAGAAAACACAAGUCCCUCGGAGAAGUCUCGUAAAGUCUUAUGCCAUCAUUAAGUUGCGUUUAUGCCUUUUUAUCAUGUUUGAGAUAUGAGUGCUACCUAGUCACCCCUCACUUUCUGCAAGGGAGUGGCUUGGUCUUGAGGCCCACCUGCAACAUUCUCUACAUGGAUGCAGCCAUAAGGCUGUUUCUCCCACAUCUUGUGGCAAUGUCCUAGCUUGCAAUAAACACAGAAUGAGUGCAGUACAGUUUGAACUGACAAAAAGCUGGACCUGAACAAAGCAUUUUCACACAAUUACACCUUAUAGUCACUUUGCAGCUAGAUAACAAGUUAUACCCCUGAUGAGAAUACAAUAUUUCUUAGUACACUUUAUUCGUAAGGAACCGUGUUAAACUCAGUAACUUGAAGUUCACCAGUUUAUUUGCAGCAUUGGAUCCAAAGCUUUCUUAGCUUCCAAAAAAUUAAUAGGUGGCUUCACAAGAAAAUGUAUGGGCUCAUCUAAGUGCUGAUAUAACACGGAAGAAGUCACCCGCUCACACGACACAGCCUCCCUUGUGUUUACCCCCAGUGUAAGAAGAACAAGGAUUUCCCUCUCAGGAGCAAUGACUGUAUGAAAACACACAGCUUACCAUUUCACCCGCUUUCAACUUCUCUAACCAGGUUUCAGUGCUUACUGCAAUGUUAGGAGUCUGCUGGCAAUAUUAGAAGAUAAGGAGAAUGGAUUUAGCAUGCCUUCUUGCUACCCAGGAUGCAGUCCAUGCCCCUGAAGGAGUCUGGGCAGUUUUGAACUUUUACUGUAUUCCAGCAUUGAAACUUUUAAACAGUAAAUGGAUUUUGAGAACCACUGAA